GAUGAACGCUGGCGGCGUGCCUAAUACAUGCAAGUCGAGCGAAUGGAUUAAGAGCUUGCUCUUAUGAAGUUAGCGGCGGACGGGUGAGUAACACGUGGGUAACCUGCCCAUAAGACUGGGAUAACUCCGGGAAACCGGGGCUAAUACCGGAUAACAUUUUGAACCGCAUGGUUCGAAAUUGAAAGGCGGCUUCGGCUGUCACUUAUGGAUGGACCCGCGUCGCAUUAGCUAGUUGGUGAGGUAACGGCUCACCAAGGCAACGAUGCGUAGCCGGCCUGGGAGGGUGAUCGGCCACACUGGGACUGGAACACGGCCCAGACUCCUGCGGGAGGCAGCAGUAGGGAAUCUUCCGCAAUGGACGAAAGUCUGACGGAGCAACGCCGCGUGAGUGAUGAAGGCUUUCGGGUCGUAAAACUCUGUUGUUAGGGAAGAACAAGUGCUAGUUGAAUAAGCUGGCACCUUGACGGUACCUAACCAGAAAGCCACGGCUAACUACGUGCCAGCAGCCGCAGUAA
rnacentral:rRNA from 1 species